rnacentral:rRNA from 1 species
UAGAGCGGCGGACGGGUGAGUAACACGUGGACAAUCUCGCCCCCCGGCCGGGAUAGCCCAGGGAAACCUGGAUUAAUACCGGAUGAGACGGGACCCGCGAAGGCGGGACCCGGGAAAGGCGCUGCGGCGCCGCCGGGGGAUGAGUCUGCGUCCCAUUAGCUAGACGGCGGGGUAACGGCCCACCGUGGCGACGAUGGGUAGCCGGCCUGAGAGGGUGGACGGCCACAUUGGAACUGAGACACGGUCCAGACUCCUACGGGAGGCAGCAGUGGGGGAUAUUGCACAAUGGGCGCAAGCCUGAUGCAGCGAACCGCCGCGUGAGUGAAGAAGUAUUUCGGUAUGUAAAGCUCUAUCAGCAGGGAAGAAAGGCCCGCAAGGGAGAUGACGGUACCUGACUAAGAACGCCCCGGCUAACUACGUGCCAGCCGCCGC